UACAGAGGUCUCAAGCGUUGUUCGGAUUCAUUGGGCGUAAAGGGUGCGUAGGCGGCGCGGUAAGUCGGGUGUGAAAUCUCGGGGCUUAACUCCGAAACUGCAUUCGAUACUGCGGUGCUUGAGGACUGGAGAGGAGACUGGAAUUUACGGUGUAGCAGUGAAAUGCGUAGAGAUCGUAAGGAAGACCAGUGGCGAAGGCGGGUCUCUGGAAAGUUCCUGACACUGAGGCACGAAGGCCAGGGGAGCAAACGGG
rnacentral:rRNA from 1 species